UAAGUUCCGACCUGCACGAAUGGUGUAACGAUCUGGGCACUGUCUCGGCCAUGAGCUCGGUGAAAUUGAAGUAUCGGUGAAGAUGCCGAUUACCCGCAACGGGACGAAAAGACCCCGUGAACCUUUACUACAGCUUCACAUUGUGUUAGGGUAUAAGAUGUGUAGGAUAGGUGGGAGGCUACGAAGCUGCCGCGCCAGUGGUGGUGGAGCCGACCUUGAAAUACCACCCUUCUUAUACUUUGAUACUAACUUCAGCAACAACUGGAGGACAUUGUGUGGUGGGUAGUUUGACUGGGGU
rnacentral:rRNA from 1 species